UGGGGAAUAUUGCACAAUGGGGGAAACCCUGAUGCAGCGACGCCGCGUGAACGAAGAAGGUAUUCGUAUCGUAAAGUUCUGUCCUAUGGGAAGAUAAUGACAGUACCAUAGAAGAAAGCUCCGGCUAAAUACGUGCCAGCAGCCGCGGUAAUACGUAUGGAGCGAGCGUUGUCCGGAAUUAUUGGGCGUAAAGGGUACGCAGGCGGUUUAAUAAGUCGAAUGUUAAAGAUCGGGGCUCAACCCCGCAAAGCAUUGGAAACUGAUAAACUUGAGUAGUGGAGAGGAAGGUGGAAUUCCUAGUGUAGUGGUGAAAUACGUAGAUAUUAGGAGGAGUACCAGUAGCGAAGGCGACUUUCUGGACACAAACUGACGCUGAGGUACGAAAGCGUGGGGAGCAAACAGG
rnacentral:rRNA from 1 species